rnacentral:rRNA from 1 species
CCUACGGGAGGCAGCAGUGGGGAAUAUUGCACAAUGAGGGAAACCCUGAUGCAGCGACGCCGCGUGAGUGAAGAAGUACUUCGGUAUGUAAAGCGCUAUCAGCAGGGAAGAAAAUGACGGUACGUGAGUAAGAAGCGCCGGCUAACUACGUGCCAGCAGCCGCGGUAAUACGUUGGGCGCAAGCGGUAUCCGGAUUUACUGGGUGAAAAGGGAGCGUAGGCGGUUUGGCAAGUCAGGAGCGAAAGCCCCGGGGUCAAAUCCGGGACUGCUUUUGAUACUGUUGAACUAGAGUGGAGGAGAGGUAAGUGGAAUUCCUAGUGUAGCGGUGAAAUGCGUAGAUAUUAGGAAGAACACCAGUGGCGAAGGCGGCUUACUGGACUGUAAAUGACGCUGAGGCUCGAAAGCGUGGGGAGCAAACAGGAUUAGAUACCCGGGUAGUC